ACAAGUAGUCAGAGCCCGUUAAUGGGUGAUGGCGUGCCUUUUGUAGAAUGAACCGGCGAGUUACGAUUUGAUGCAAGGUUAAGCAGUAAAUGUGGAGCCGUAGCGAAAGCGAGUCUGAAUAGGGCGUUUAGUAUUUGGUCGUAGACCCGAAACCAGGUGAUCUACCCUUGGUCAGGUUGAAGUUCAGGUAACACUGAAUGGAGGACCGAACCGACUUACGUUGAAAAGUGAGCGGAUGAACUGAGGGUAGCGGAGAAAUUCCAAUCGAACCUGGAGAUAGCUGGUUCUCUCCGAAAUAGCUUUAGGGCUAGCCUCAAGUGAUGAUUAUUGGAGGUAGAGCACUGUUUGGACGAGGGGCCCCUCUCGGGUUACCGAAUUCAGACAAACUCCGAAUGCCAAUUAAUUUAACUUGGGAGUCAGAACAUGGGUGAUAAGGUCCGUGUUCGAAAGGGAAACAGCCCAGACCACCAGCUAAGGUCCCAAAAUAUAUGUUAAGUGGAAAAGGAUGUGGCGUUGCCCAGACAACUAGGAUGUUGGCUUAGAAGCAGCCAUCAUUUAAAGAGUGCGUAAUAGCUCACUAGUCGAGUGACACUGCGCCGAAAAUGUACCGGGGCUAAACAUAUUACCGAAGCUGUGGAUUGUCCUUUGGACAAUGGUAGGAGAGCGUUCUAAGGGCGUUGAAGCAUGAUCGUAAGGACAUGUGGAGCGCUUAGAAGUGAGAAUGCCGGUGUGAGUAGCGAAAGACGGGUGAGAAUCCCGUCCACCGAUUGACUAAGGUUUCCAGAGGAAGGCUCGUCCGCUCUGGGUUAGUCGGGUCCUAAGCUGAGGCCGACAGGCGUAGGCGAUGGAUAACAGGUUGAUAUUCCUGUACCACCUAUAAUCGUUUUAAUCGAUGGGGGGACGCAGUAGGAUAGGCGAAGCGUGCGAUUGGAUUGCACGUCUAAGCAGUAAGGCUGAGUAUUAGGCAAAUCCGGUACUCAUUAAGGCUGAGCUGUGAUGGGGAGAAGACAUUGUGUCUUCGAGUCGUUGAUUUCACACUGCCGAGAAAAGCCUCUAGAUAGAAAAUAGGUGCCCGUACCGCAAACCGACACAGGUAGUCAAGAUGAGAAUUCUAAGGUGAGCGAGCGAACUCUCGUUAAGGAACUCGGCAAAAUGACCCCGUAACUUCGGGAGAAGGGGUGCUCUUUAGGGUUAACGCCCAGAAGAGCCGCAGUGAAUAGGCCCAAGCGACUGUUUAUCAAAAACACAGGUCUCUGCUAAACCGUAAGGUGAUGUAUAGGGGCUGACGCCUGCCCGGUGCUGGAAGGUUAAGAGGAGUGGUUAGCUUCUGCGAAGCUACGAAUCGAAGCCCCAGUAAACGGCGGCCGUAACUAUAACGGUCCUAAGGUAGCGAAAUUCCUUGUCGGGUAAGUUCCGACCCGCACGAAAGGCGUAACGAUUUGGGCACUGUCUCAACGAGAGACUCGGUGAAAUCAUAGUACCUGUGAAGAUGCAGGUUACCCGCGACAGGACGGAAAGACCCCGUGGAGCUUUACUGUAGCCUGAUAUUGAAAUUCGGCACAGCUUGUACAGGAUAGGUAGGAGCCUUUGAAACGUGAGCGCUAGCUUACGUGGAGGCGCUGGUGGGAUACUACCCUAGCUGUGUUGGCUUUCUAACCCGCACCACUUAUCGUGGUGGGAGACAGUGUCAGGCGGGCAGUUUGACUGGGGCGGUCGCCUCCUAAAAGGUAACGGAGGCGCUCAAAGGUUCCCUCAGAAUGGUUGGAAAUCAUUCAUAGAGUGUAAAGGCAUAAGGGAGCUUGACUGCGAGACCUACAAGUCGAGCAGGGUCGAAAGACGGACUUAGUGAUCCGGUGGUUCCGCAUGGAAGGGCCAUCGCUCAACGGAUAAAAGCUACCCCGGGGAUAACAGGCUUAUCUCCCCCAAGAGUUCACAUCGACGGGGAGGUUUGGCACCUCGAUGUCGGCUCAUCGCAUCCUGGGGCUGUAGUCGGUCCCAAGGGUUGGGCUGUUCGCCCAUUAAAGCGGUACGCGAGCUGGGUUCAGAACGUCGUGAGACAGUUCGGUCCCUAUCCGUCGUGGGCGUAGGAAAUUUGAGAGGAGCUGUCCUUAGUACGAGAGGACCGGGAUGGACAUACCUCUGGUGUACCAGUUGUCGUGCCAACGGCAUAGCUGGGUAGCUAUGUGUGGACGGGAUAAGUGCUGAAAGCAUCUAAGCAUGAAGCCCCCCUCAAGAUGAGAUUUCCCAACUUCGGUUAUAAGAUCCCUCAAAGAUGAUGAGGUUAAUAGGUUCGAGGUGGAAGCAUGGUGACAUGUGGAGCUGACGAAUACUAAUCGAUCGAAGACUUAAUCAA
rnacentral:rRNA from 1 species